rnacentral:sRNA from 1 species
CACACGCAGGAUCUGCGGUUCUCAUUAUGUAAGAGUCGCUCCGGUGGUUGUAGAAACAACUACAUCCCUGCGGAGGUUUAACCGGAGAAAGGAAAGAC